rnacentral:rRNA from 1 species
UACGUAGGGGGCGAGCGUUGUCCGGAUUUAUUGGGCGUAAAGAGCUCGUAGGCGGUUUGUCGCGUCUGCUGUGAAAGACCGGGGCUCAACUCCGGUUCUGCAGUGGGUACGGGCAGACUAGAGUGCAGUAGGGGAGACUGGAAUUCCUGGUGUAGCGGUGAAAUGCGCAGAUAUCAGGAGGAACACCGGUGGCGAAGGCGGCUUGCUGGGCCAGUUCUGACGCUGAGGAGCGAAAGCGUGGGGAGCGAACAGG